UCUAGUUUUUGUUUUUAUUUACGAGUGUGUUCAUUUUGAAAGGUACGUGAAAAACAAGGAAAGAAUUGAGGAAUAAAGUUUGUGGGCUAAUUCCAGCUGCUAUUUCAUAAGAAAAAAGCGACCACAUCUUAUCAGCUGGAAAUUGAAUAAUUGCAAAAAUUCGGGCAGUCAUCAGGUAAUGCCGAGGAACAACAAGCGAUGUAGGAGAUCCAGUUACCUGAAACAUACGCGGUCGCCACUUGUAGUUUCGCUCGCUGGGCAUUGGAUCGAUUGGCAGAAUGCUAAAAUGAGGUCGCGUUUUGCUUUUGCCAUCCGGCACACCAUCAUCAAAGUCCCAAAAUUUAAUCAGUCCAUACAUAUCCAUAAGCGUGGGUAUAAUCAGCUUCUUCAUGGCGCUCGCGAGUCUCCCUCAGAGUAUGUCGAGGCUCUGAGGCACAAAUCAAAGCCAAAGGCGCCUCCCGAUAGCAGGUGUCAACGUUGGACGUGAUAAAUAAUAACUGAUUGCGAGAAUUGCAAAUGCGGCGCUGCUACGGCUACCACAAUUCCGAUGUCGAUGUCAAAUGACUAUGCGUGUAUUGUAUGUCUGCCCUUUUGUUGUGAAAAGUCUGUGAUGGUGUUGAUGAUAUCACUUUGAUAAGCAUUUACAUACGAUUGGGGAAGGGGAGUGGGACAACCGGACCGUAUUGUGUUGCUCUGUUGGUUAUUGUCUACCCUAGGCAUUCCGAGUUAAGGGCUAGCUUCUGGUGCUUGAGGCUGAAGAGCAGCUGAGUCCAGAGUUUUGAUUAGAUCAAUAUAAGACUUUCAUUGAUGGCAUGAGCCGGCACCCACAAUGCAAUGCAUCAACAGUUAUAUUCACUUCGGUCUCAAUAGCUCGUAUGUCUGAGUCAUGACAUUAUAGUUUGAUCUCGGUGGUGCUGGGGCUUUACCUUUGUUCUGCUUGAUUAGUUUUUACCCCAUUUUCAAUUAUAGUACAGGCUGUCUGAAUUGAAACAGCUAAUUGCUAUUCUUCCUAAGCCUUAAUUAUAAACAUUUUGUGGUAUAUGUGAGCAGAGAUAGUUUGAUUAUAAAAUAUCGAACUCGAUUGGAAGGCUUAAUCGAUCAAAUUGCUAUCGG